rnacentral:rRNA from 1 species
AUUGAACGCUGGCGGCAGGCCUAACACAUGCAAGUCGAGCGGAGCGGCGGACGGGUGAGUAAGACCUAGGAAUCUGCCUGGUAGUGGGGGAUAACGUUCGGAAACGGACGCUAAUACCGCAUACUAACAGAUGAGCCUAGGUCGGAUUAGCUAGUUGGUGAGGUAAUGGCUCACCAAGGCUACGAUCCGUAACAGGUCAGAGAGGAUGAUCAUUCACACUGGAACUACGACACGAUCCAGACUUCUACGGGAGGCAGCAGUGGGGAAUCUUGGGCAGUUGGCGAAAGCCUGAUCCAGCCAUGCCGCGUGUGUGAAGAAGGUCUUCGGAUUGUAAAGCACUUUAAGUUGGGAGGCGUUACCGACAGACUCAGCCCCGGCUAACUCUGUGCCAGCCGCCGCGGUCCUAC